rnacentral:rRNA from 1 species
UACGUAGGGUGCAAGCGUUAAUCGGAAUUACUGGGCGUAAAGCGUGCGCAGGCGGUUUUGUAAGUCUGACGUGAAAGCCCCGGGCUCAACCUGGGAAUUGCGUUGGAGACUGCAAGGCUUGAAUCUGGCAGAGGGGGGUAGAAUUCCACGUGUAGCAGGGAAAUGCGUAGAGAUGUGGAGGAACACCGAUGGCGAAGGCAGCCCCCUGGGUCAAGAUUGACGCUCAUGCACGAAAGCGUGGGGAGCAAACAGG